rnacentral:rRNA from 1 species
UGGCGAACGGGUGAGUAACGGGUGGAAAACCUGCCCUUCAAUGGGGGAUAACAGUUCUAACGAGCUGCUAAUACCGCAUACGACCUUUGGUCCGCAUGUUCCAAAGGUGAAAGGUGGCCUCUCUUUGAAGCUGCCGUUGAAGGAUGGUUCCGCCUCCCAUUAGCUUGUUGGUGGGGUAAUGGCCUACCAAGGCGACGAUGGGUAGCCGGCCUGAGAGGGUGUCCGGCCACACUGGGACUGAGAUACGGCCCAGACUCCUACGGGAGGCAGCAGUCGAGAAGCUUCGGCAAUGGGCGAAAGCCUGACCGAGCGAUGCCGCGUGAGUGAAGAAGGCCCUAUGGGUUGUAAAGCUCUGUCAGAUUGGGAAGAAAAUCCUACGGUUAAUACCCGUGGGACUUGACGGUACCAUCAGAGGAAGCACCGGCUAACUCCGUGCCAGCAGCCGCGGUAAUACGGAGGGUGCAAGCGUUGUUCGGAUUCACUGGGUAUAAAGGGUGCGCAGGCGGCUUGAUAAGUCAGGGGUGAAAUAUGACGGCUUAACCGUCAAACUGCCCCUGAAACUGUCAGGCUUGAGUUCGAGAGAGGUAGGUGGAAUUCCAGGUGUAGCGGUGAAAUGCGUAAAUAUCUGGAGGAACACCGGUGGCGAAGGCGGCCUACUGGCUCGAUACUGACGCUCAGGCACGAAAGCAUGGGGAGCGAACGGGAUUAGAUACCCCGGUAGUCCAUGCCGUAAACGAUGGGUACUAGGUGUUGGAGGAUUCUACCCCUUCAGUGCCGCAGCUAACGCAUUAAGUACCCCACCUGGGGAGUACGAUCGCAAGGUUGAAACUCAAAGGAUUUGACGGGGGCCCGCACAAGCGGUGGAGCAUGUGGUUUAAUUCGAUGCAACGAGAAGAACCUUACCUGGGCUUGACAUGCAGGGGACAGAUGUAGAAAUACAUCCUUCUUCGGACUCCUGUACAGGUGCUGCAUGGCUGUCGUCAGCUCGUGUCGUGAAAUGUUGGGUUAAGUCCCGCAACGAGCGCAACCCUUGUCUUUAGUUGCCA